rnacentral:rRNA from 1 species
AUGCACCCUGGCGGCGUGCCUCAUCCCUGCCAGUCGCGCUCACGGACGAGAAGCUUUCUUCUCUGAUGUUAGCGGCGGACGGGUGAGUAACCCGUGGAUAACCUACCUAUAAUACUGGGAUAACUUCGGGAAACCGGAGCUAAUACCGGAUAAUAUUUUGAACCGCAUGGUUCAAAAGGUAAAGACGGUCUUGCUUUCACUUAUAGAUGGAUCCGCGCUGCAUUAGCUAGUUGGUAAGGUAACGGCUUACCAAGGCAAAGAUGCAUAGCCGAGCUGAGAGGAUAAUCGUCCAGACUGGAACUGAGACACGGUCCAGACUCCUACGGGAGGCAGCAGUAGGGAUUCUUCCGCGAUGGGCGAAAGCAUGACGGAGCAACGCCGCGUGAGUGAUGAAGGUCUUCGGAUCGUAAAACUCUGUUAUUAGGGAAGAACAUAUGUGUAAGUACCUGUGCACAUCUUGCCGGUACCUAAUCAGAAAGCCACGGCUAACUUCGUG